GGCAUGGCUCAAGUGGUAGAGCACUUGCCUAGCAAGCACAAGGCCCUGAGUUCAAAUCUCAACAAGCCA
rnacentral:tRNA from 1 species